rnacentral:misc_RNA from 1 species
UUUCCGUAGGUGAACCUGCGGAAGGAUCAUUAUUGAAUGAACUUGGUAGUGGUUGUAGCUGGCUCUCUCGAGAGCAUGUGCACACCCGCCAUCUUUAUCUUUCCACCUGUGCACUUCUUGUAGACUUUGGGAUUUGAAAACUUAUCCGGGGCAACUCGGUCGGGAGGAGCUGCUGUAGCAAUACGGCUCUCCUUGACAAGUCUUCAAAGUCUAUGUUUUUCAUAUACCCCAUAGUAUGUAACAGAAUGUAUACAAAUGAGCCUUAGUGCUUAUAAAACUUAUACAACUUUCAACAACGGAUCUCUUGGCUCUC